GAUGAAGAACGUAGCGAAAUGCGAUACGUAAUGUGAAUUGCAGAAUUCAGUGAAUCAUCGAAUCUUUGAACGCACAUUGCGCCUGCCAGCACUCUGGCAGGCAUGCCUGUUCGAGCGUCAUUUCAACCAUCAAGCCCUAGGCUUGCGUUGGAGCCCUGCGGCUGCCGCAGGCCCCUAAAAGCAGUGGCGGGCUCGCUAUCACACCGAGUGCAGUAGAUUACUCUUCGCUCAGGGCGUGUGGCGGGUUCCAGCCGUGAAACCCCCUACUUCUCAAGGUUGACCUCGUAUCAGGUAGGAAUACCCGCUGAACUUAAGCAUAUCAAUAAGCGGAGGA
rnacentral:misc_RNA from 1 species